UACGUAGGGGGGCAAGCGUUGUCCGGAAUCAUUGGGCGUAAAGCGCGUGUAGGCGGCUCGAUAAGUCUGCUGUGAAAGUCCAGGGCUCAACCCUGGGAUGCCGGUGGAUACUGUCGAGCUCGAGUCCGGAAGAGGCGAGUGGAAUUCCUGGUGUAGCGGUGAAAUGCGCAGAUAUCAGGAGGAACACCGAUGGCGAAGGCAGCUCGCUGGGACGUGACUGACGCUGAGACGCGAAAGCGUGGGGAGCAAACAGG
rnacentral:rRNA from 1 species